rnacentral:rRNA from 1 species
AUUGAACGCUGGCGGCAAGCCUAACACAUGCAAGUCGAACGAGUGGCGGACGGGUGAGUAAUGUCUGGGAAACUGCCUGAUGGAGGGGGAUAACUACUGGAAACGGUAGCUAAUACCGCAUACCAUCGGAUGUGCCCAGAUGGGAUUAGCUAGUAGGUUGGGUAAAGGCUCACCGAGGCGACGAUCCCUAGCUGGUCUGAGAGGGUGACCGGCCACACUGGACCUGAGACACUGUCCCACCUCCUACGGUAGUCAGCAGUGGGGCAUAUUGCACAAUGGGCGCAAGCCUGAUGCAACCAUGCCGCGUGUAUGAAGGAGGCCUUCGGGUUGUAAAGUACUUUCAGCGGGGAGGCGUUACCCGCAGAAGAAGCACCGGCUAACUCCGUGCCAGCAGCCGCGGUAAUUC